rnacentral:rRNA from 1 species
CGGGGCUAGUCCGCACGAGCGCACCCUUGUGCUUAGUUGCUAACUUGUUUACAAGUGCACUCUAAGCAGACUGCCGCAUGAUAAUGCGGAGGAAGGUGGGGAUGACGUCAAAUCCUCAUGCCCCUUACGUCCCGGGCUACACACGUGCUACAAUGGUCUGUACAGAGGGUUGCCAAGGAGCGAUGCAGAGCCAAUCCCAAAAAGCACGCCCCCAGUUCAGAUUGGCAGCUGCAACUCGCCUCCAUGAAGGCGGAAUCGCUAGUAAUCGCGGAUCAACAUGCCGCGGGUGAAUACGUUUCCCCGGGCCUUUGUACACACCGCCCUAUAAAA